rnacentral:hammerhead_ribozyme from 1 species
ACUCAGUAGACGAAUCCGAAAUAGGACGAAACGUGUGUCGUGGAU